GACCUGCACUGCGAGGCAAGACUGACGAAGAAGAGGAGCAGAGGAGCAAAGAGAAAGGCACUCUGGGCAAAAGGCCGUCCCGGUCGAGAGGUCUGCAGACACGUAAGAAGAGCAUGGCCGGCACCUUUGGUGUCCUGGCCGGCUUUGCGCUGGGCGACCUCCCUGUAAGCAGGGCUCAGGUCUUUUGCUUUAGUCGGCCUUUUGCCACGCUGCUCCUUUGGCUGCCUGGAGAGAGUGUCAACCCUGUAAGGAGGGUGAGCGCCACUGUCUCCGCACCCGAGGGGGAACUGGAGCUCUCUGGACCCCAAGGCCACCCUGUAAGCAGGGGAGGGCCGUUUUGCCCACCCGACUCCUGCGGCCCUGGCGGCUUUCUGCCUGCGGCCAGCGUGACGCCCCGUAGGCGGGGUGUGUGUCACGGCAUGCAGCCCCGAUGGGGUGGGUCUGAGGCUCUCCUGGCCUGCUCGUGGGUAGGGGUUGCCCCCCGGCCCGCUCUGGAUGGUGUCUGCACGCAGUUCCCUGUCUCUUGUGGAAAGCCAAGUUUGCCCCUGGCCCUGGCCCUCUCCCUCUUCUCCCUCUCCCUGUCCUUGUCGGGGUGUGUGAGUGAGCCCGUCCUCUAGGCCCCUGUUAAAAAUAAAAAUAAAAAAGCUGCAGCUUGCUUAGCUUUGGCUUCCCAGAAGGGAACGCAGGGCUCUGUGCAGAUGCAGGGGGGUCCCCUUUCAGGCCCCGAGCCGAGGGUUGAGUCUGGACUCGCCCCUUAUUUCCUAGGACAGGGCCAAGCCACUUCCUUGGUAGCAGACCAGCCUGUAGCCAGGGCCUGGGUCUGCGCCUGUCCUUCUGGCGCCCUGCCAGCGUGACGCCCCGUAGUCGGGGUGUGUGUCACGAGCCCUGGAGCCCUCUGUCCCCAGGAGCAGCCCGAGCUCCCCCUGUAAGCAGGGCGGAGGUGGCGGCAGUGCCGCAGCCGGCUGCUUUAGCCAGCCAGCAGGAACAACCCCAGCAUCGCCCCAUCGGAGGGGGCCGGCUGAGGAAGUGUUGUGCCGGAAGGCGGGCAUAGUCCCAUCGCCUUUGGCGUUGCUUUUGGUUGGGGUGACGUGCGCGCAGUUGGCGCGGAGGUGUCUCCCUGGGCUCCUGAAGACGUGGUGUUGUGCUGCAGCCAGGAGGGCCAGCCCGUCCGUCGGGCCUAGGCCGGAGCCUCGUGCUCCAUGGGGCUUUCUUGGAAGGCGGUGAGGCGUGGGGGGACCGCCCUGUAGGCAGGGCUGUGCGUGUCCCCUGCCCUGGACAGGAGGCGCCUGUAGGGCCCCCGCUGUAAUCAGGGGGGCGGGCACCUGUGGCCCCGGCCUUUCAGAGGCGCGGGGCCGAGUUGUGUGGAGGGGCCGGGCGUGCCCUCCCCGUACUCGGGGCUGGGGUCCCGGCCCCCGGCCUUUGGCCGUGCCGCUCCACCGCCUGGCUGCUGAGAAGUCGUUCCUGCUGGUGUGGGGGAAGGCCGAGCUCUGGGGCUCCCUGGGUGUCGACCUGCCUGUAAUCAGGGGUGCGGGUCUGGGAGCCUUUGUGCUCCGCUGGCAGCCGGUGUGGGGUGACCGUCCCGUUAGCGGGUUCGCGGUCAGGGUGCCCCGGAAUCGGAGAGAAGGAGCCUCCGUUUGCCUUUGGGACCAGGGCUGCCCCGUAACUCGGGGGCCAGCCAGUGCCCUGGCGUCCCGGGCACUUUGCGGUCCAGGCAGCGGCUCGAGCCCCCUGUAAGCAGGGGUGCAGCCUGUCUGGCCGCUGCUUUGCCUGCCCAGCUCCGUUUGCCCAGGGUGCCCGCCUCCGAGCCCAGCUCCAGCACCGGCUGGAGCUCUGCUGCGCGUCCCUCAGCAGCAGCCGGUGGGGAAGAAAGAAGAGGGAGGCGUCGUGUGGACCUGCACUGCGAGGCAAGAGCGACGAAGAAGAGGAGAAGAGGGAGGCGUCGUGUGGACCUGCACUGCGAGGCAAGACUGACGAAGAAGAGGAGCAGAGGAGCAAAGAGAAAGGCACUCUGGGCAAAAGGCCGUCCCGGUCGAGAGGUCUGCAGACACGUAAGAAGAGCAUGGCCGGCACCUUUGGUGUCCUGGCCGGCUUUGCGCUGGGCGACCUCCCUGUAAGCAGGGCUCAGGUCUUUUGCUUUAGUCGGCCUUUUGCCACGCUGCUCCUUUGGCUGCCUGGAGAGAGUGUCAACCUUGUAAGGAGGGUGAGCGCCACUGUCUCCGCACCCGAGGGGGAACUGGAGCUCUCUGGACCCCAAGGCCACCCUGUAAGCAGGGGAGGGCCGUUUUGCCCACCCGACUCCUGCGGCCCUGGCGGCUUUCUGCCUGCGGCCAGCGUGACGCCCCGUAGGCGGGGUGUGUGUCACGGCAUGCAGCCCCGAUGGGGUGGGUCUGAGGCUCUCCUGGCCUGCUCGUGGGUAGGGGUUGCCCCCCGGCCCGCUCUGGAUGGUGUCUGCACGCAGUUCCCUGUCUCUUGUGGAAAGCCAAGUUUGCCCCUGGCCCUGGCCCUCUCCCUCUUCUCCCUCUCCCUGUCCUUGUCGGGGUGUGUGAGUGAGCCCGUCCUCUAGGCCCCUGUUAAAAAUAAAAAUAAAAAAGCUGCAGCUUGCUUAGCUUUGGCUUCCCAGAAGGGAACGCAGGGCUCUGUGCAGAUGCAGGGGGGUCCCCUUUCAGGCCCCGAGCCGAGGGUUGAGUCUGGACUCGCCCCUUAUUUCCUAGGACAGGGCCAAGCCACUUCCUUGGUAGCAGACCAGCCUGUAGCCAGGGCCUGGGUCUGCGCCUGUCCUUCUGGCGCCCUGCCAGCGUGACGCCCCGUAGUCGGGGUGUGUGUCACGAGCCCUGGAGCCCUCUGUCCCCAGGAGCAGCCCGAGCUCCCCCUGUAAGCAGGGCGGAGGUGGCGGCAGUGCCGCAGCCGGCUGCUUUAGCCAGCCAGCAGGAACAACCCCAGCAUCGCCCCAUCGGAGGGGGCCGGCUGAGGAAGUGUUGUGCCGGAAGGCGGGCAUAGUCCCAUCGCCUUUGGCGUUGCUUUUGGUUGGGGUGACGUGCGCGCAGUUGGCGCGGAGGUGUCUCCCUGGGCUCCUGAAGACGUGGUGUUGUGCUGCAGCCAGGAGGGCCAGCCCGUCCGUCGGGCCUAGGCCGGAGCCUCGUGCUCCAUGGGGCUUUCUUGGGAGGCGGUGAGGCGUGGGGGGACCGCCCUGUAGGCAGGGCUGUGCGUGUCCCCUGCCCUGGACAGGAGGCGCCUGUAGGGCCCCCGCUGUAAUCAGGGGGGCGGGCACCUGUGGCCCCGGCCUUUCAGAGGCGCGGGGCCGAGUUGUGUGGAGGGGCCGGGCGUGCCCUCCCCGUACUCGGGGCUGGGGUCCCGGCCCCCGGCCUUUGGCCGUGCCGCUCCACCGCCUGGCUGCUGAGAAGUCGUUCCUGCUGGUGUGGGGGAAGGCCGAGCUCUGGGGCUCCCUGGGUGUCGACCUGCCUGUAAUCAGGGGUGCGGGUCUGGGAGCCUUUGUGCUCCGCUGGCAGCCGGUGUGGGGUGACCGUCCCGUUAGCGGGUUCGCGGUCAGGGUGCCCUGGAAUCGGAGAGAAGGAGCCUCCGUUUGCCUUUGGGACCAGGGCUGCCCCGUAACUCGGGGGCCAGCCAGUGCCCUGGCGUCCCGGGCACUUUGCGGUCCAGGCAGCGGCUCGAGCCCCCUGUAAGCAGGGGUGCAGCCUGUCUGGCCGCUGCUUUGCCUGCCCAGCUCCGUUUGCCCAGGGUGCCCGCCUCCGAGCCCAGCUCCAGCACCGGCUGGAGCUCUGCUGCGCGUCCCUCAGCAGCAGCCGGUGGGGAAGAAAGAAGAGGGAGGCGUCGUGUGGACCUGCACUGCGAGGCAAGAGCGACGAAGAAGAGGAGAAGAGGGAGGCGUCGUGUGGACCUGCACUGCGAGGCAAGACUGACGAAGAAGAGGAGCAGAGGAGCAAAGAGAAAGGCACUCUGGGCAAAAGGCCGUCCCGGUCGAGAGGUCUGCAGACACGUAAGAAGAGCAUGGCCGGCACCUUUGGUGUCCUGGCCGGCUUUGCGCUGGGCGACCUCCCUGUAAGCAGGGCUCAGGUCUUUUGCUUUAGUCGGCCUUUUGCCACGCUGCUCCUUUGGCUGCCUGGAGAGAGUGUCAACCCUGUAAGGAGGGUGAGCGCCACUGUCUCCGCACCCGAGGGGGAACUGGAGCUCUCUGGACCCCAAGGCCACCCUGUAAGCAGGGGAGGGCCGUUUUGCCCACCCGACUCCUGCGGCCCUGGCAGCUUUCUGCCUGCGGCCAGCGUGACGCCCCGUAGGCGGGGUGUGUGUCACGAGCCCUGGAGCCCUCUGUCCCCAGGAGCAGCCCGAGCUCCCCCUGUAAGCAGGGCGGAGGUGGCGGCAGUGCCGCAGCCGGCUGCUUUAGCCAGCCAGCAGGAACAACCCCAGCAUCGCCCCAUCGGAGGGGGCCGGCUGAGGAAGUGUUGUGCCGGAAGGCGGGCAUAGUCCCAUCGCCUUUGGCGUUGCUUUUGGUUGGGGUGACGUGCGCGCAGUUGGCGCGGAGGUGUCUCCCUGGGCUCCUGAAGACGUGGUGUUGUGCUGCAGCCAGGAGGGCCAGCCCGUCCGUCGGGCCUAGGCCGGAGCCUCGUGCUCCAUGGGGCUUUCUUGGGAGGCGGUGAGGCGUGGGGGGACCGCCCUGUAGGCAGGGCUGUGCGUGUCCCCUGCCCUGGACAGGAGGCGCCUGUAGGGCCCCCGCUGUAAUCAGGGGGGCGGGCACCUGUGGCCCCGGCCUUUCAGAGGCGCGGGGCCGAGUUGUGUGGAGGGGCCGGGCGUGCCCUCCCCGUACUCGGGGCUGGGGUCCCGGCCCCCGGCCUUUGGCCGUGCCGCUCCACCGCCUGGCUGCUGAGAAGUCGUUCCUGCUGGUGUGGGGGAAGGCCGAGCUCUGGGGCUCCCUGGGUGUCGACCUGCCUGUAAUCAGGGGUGCGGGUCUGGGAGCCUUUGUGCUCCGCUGGCAGCCGGUGUGGGGUGACCGUCCCGUUAGCGGGUUCGCGGUCAGGGUGCCCCGGAAUCGGAGAGAAGGAGCCUCCGUUUGCCUUUGGGACCAGGGCUGCCCCGUAACUCGGGGGCCAGCCAGUGCCCUGGCGUCCCGGGCACUUUGCGGUCCAGGCAGCGGCUCGAGCCCCCUGUAAGCAGGGGUGCAGCCUGUCUGGCCGCUGCUUUGCCUGCCCAGCUCCGUUUGCCCAGGGUGCCCGCCUCCGAGCCCAGCUCCAGCACCGGCUGGAACUCUGCUGCGCGUCCCUCAGCAGCAGCCGGUGGGGAAGAAAGAAGAGGGAGGCGUCGUGUGGACCUGCACUGCGAGGCAAGAGCGACGAAGAAGAGGAGAAGAGGGAGGCGUCGUGUGGACCUGCACUGCGAGGCAAGACUGACGAAGAAGAGGAGCAGAGGAGCAAAGAGAAAGGCACUCUGGGCAAAAGGCCGUCCCGGUCGAGAGGUCUGCAGACACGUAAGAAGAGCAUGGCCAGCACCUUUGGUGUCCUGGCCGGCUUUGCGCUGGGCGACCUCCCUGUAAGCAGGGCUCAGGUCUUUUGCUUUAGUCGGCCUUUUGCCACGCUGCUCCUUUGGCUGCCUGGAGAGAGUGUCAACCCUGUAAGGAGGGUGAGCGCCACUGUCUCCGCACCCGAGGGGGAACUGGAGCUCUCUGGACCCCAAGGCCACCCUGUAAGCAGGGGAGGGCCGUUUUGCCCACCCGACUCCUGCGGCCCUGGCAGCUUUCUGCCUGCGGCCAGCGUGACGCCCCGUAGUCGGGGUGUGUGUCACGAGCCCUGGAGCCCUCUGUCCCCAGGAGCAGCCCGAGCUCCCCCUGUAAGCAGGGCGGAGGUGGCGGCAGUGCCGCAGCCGGCUGCUUUAGCCAGCCAGCAGGAACAACCCCAGCAUCGCCCCAUCGGAGGGGGCCGGCUGAGGAAGUGUUGUGCCGGAAGGCGGGCAUAGUCCCAUCGCCUUUGGCGUUGCUUUUGGUUGGGGUGACGUGCGCGCAGUUGGCGCGGAGGUGUCUCCCUGGGCUCCUGAAGACGUGGUGUUGUGCUGCAGCCAGGAGGGCCAGCCCGUCCGUCGGGCCUAGGCCGGAGCCUCGUGCUCCAUGGGGCUUUCUUGGGAGGCGGUGAGGCGUGGGGGGACCGCCCUGUAGGCAGGGCUGUGCGUGUCCCCUGCCCUGGACAGGAGGCGCCUGUAGGGCCCCCGCUGUAAUCAGGGGGGCGGGCACCUGUGGCCCCGGCCUUUCAGAGGCGCGGGGCCGAGUUGUGUGGAGGGGCCGGGCGUGCCCUCCCCGUACUCGGGGCUGGGGUCCCGGCCCCCGGCCUUUGGCCGUGCCGCUCCACCGCCUGGCUGCUGAGAAGUCGUUCCUGCUGGUGUGGGGGAAGGCCGAGCUCUGGGGCUCCCUGGGUGUCGACCUGCCUGUAAUCAGGGGUGCGGGUCUGGGAGCCUUUGUGCUCCGCUGGCAGCCGGUGUGGGGUGACCGUCCCGUUAGCGGGUUCGCGGUCAGGGUGCCCCGGAAUCGGAGAGAAGGAGCCUCCGUUUGCCUUUGGGACCAGGGCUGCCCCGUAACUCGGGGGCCAGCCAGUGCCCUGGCGUCCCGGGCACUUUGCGGUCCAGGCAGCGGCUCGAGCCCCCUGUAAGCAGGGGUGCAGCCUGUCUGGCCGCUGCUUUGCCUGCCCAGCUCCGUUUGCCCAGGGUGCCCGCCUCCGAGCCCAGCUCCAGCACCGGCUGGAACUCUGCUGCGCGUCCCUCAGCAGCAGCCGGUGGGGAAGAAAGAAGAGGGAGGCGUCGUGUGGACCUGCACUGCGAGGCAAGAGCGACGAAGAAGAGGAGAAGAGGGAGGCGUCGUGUGGACCUGCACUGCGAGGCAAGACUGACGAAGAAGAGGAGCAGAGGAGCAAAGAGAAAGGCACUCUGGGCAAAAGGCCGUCCCGGUCGAGAGGUCUGCAGACACGUAAGAAGAGCAUGGCCGGCACCUUUGGUGUCCUGGCCGGCUUUGCGCUGGGCGACCUCCCUGUAAGCAGGGCUCAGGUCUUUUGCUUUAGUCGGCCUUUUGCCACGCUGCUCCUUUGGCUGCCUGGAGAGAGUGUCAACCCUGUAAGGAGGGUGAGCGCCACUGUCUCCGCACCCGAGGGGGAACUGGAGCUCUCUGGACCCCAAGGCCACCCUGUAAGCAGGGGAGGGCCGUUUUGCCCACCCGACUCCUGCGGCCCUGGCAGCUUUCUGCCUGCGGCCAGCGUGACGCCCCGUAGGCGGGGUGUGUGUCACGAGCCCUGGAGCCCUCUGUCCCCAGGAGCAGCCCGAGCUCCCCCUGUAAGCAGGGCGGAGGUGGCGGCAGUGCCGCAGCCGGCUGCUUUAGCCAGCCAGCAGGAACAACCCCAGCAUCGCCCCAUCGGAGGGGGCCGGCUGAGGAAGUGUUGUGCCGGAAGGCGGGCAUAGUCCCAUCGCCUUUGGCGUUGCUUUUGGUUGGGGUGACGUGCGCGCAGUUGGCGCGGAGGUGUCUCCCUGGGCUCCUGAAGACGUGGUGUUGUGCUGCAGCCAGGAGGGCCAGCCCGUCCGUCGGGCCUAGGCCGGAGCCUCGUGCUCCAUGGGGCUUUCUUGGAAGGCGGUGAGGCGUGGGGGGACCGCCCUGUAGGCAGGGCUGUGCGUGUCCCCUGCCCUGGACAGGAGGCGCCUGUAGGGCCCCCGCUGUAAUCAGGGGGGCGGGCACCUGUGGCCCCGGCCUUUCAGAGGCGCGGGGCCGAGUUGUGUGGAGGGGCCGGGCGUGCCCUCCCCGUACUCGGGGCUGGGGUCCCGGCCCCCGGCCUUUGGCCGUGCUGCUCCACCGCCUGGCUGCUGAGAAGUCGUUCCUGCUGGUGUGGGGGAAGGCCGAGCUCUGGGGCUCCCUGGGUGUCGACCUGCCUGUAAUCAGGGGUGCGGGUCUGGGAGCCUUUGUGCUCCGCUGGCAGCCGGUGUGGGGUGACCGUCCCGUUAGCGGGUUCGCGGUCAGGGUGCCCCGGAAUCGGAGAGAAGGAGCCUCCGUUUGCCUUUGGGACCAGGGCUGCCCCGUAACUCGGGGGCCAGCCAGUGCCCUGGCGUCCCGGGCACUUUGCGGUCCAGGCAGCGGCUCGAGCCCCCUGUAAGCAGGGGUGCAGCCUGUCUGGCCGCUGCUUUGCCUGCCCAGCUCCGUUUGCCCAGGGUGCCCGCCUCCGAGCCCAGCUCCAGCACCGGCUGGAGCUCUGCUGCGUGUCCCUCAGCAGCAGCCGGUGGGGAAGAAAGAAGAGGGAGGCGUCGUGUGGACCUGCACUGCGAGGCAAGAGCGACGAAGAAGAGGAGAAGAGGGAGGCGUCGUGUGGACCUGCACUGCGAGGCAAGACUGACGAAGAAGAGGAGCAGAGGAGCAAAGAGAAAGGCACUCUGGGCAAAAGGCCGUCCCGGUCGAGAGGUCUGCAGACACGUAAGAAGAGCAUGGCCGGCACCUUUGGUGUCCUGGCCGGCUUUGCGCUGGGCGACCUCCCUGUAAGCAGGGCUCAGGUCUUUUGCUUUAGUCGGCCUUUUGCCACGCUGCUCCUUUGGCUGCCUGGAGAGAGUGUCAACCCUGUAAGGAGGGUGAGCGCCACUGUCUCCGCACCCGAGGGGGAACUGGAGCUCUCUGGACCCCAAGGCCACCCUGUAAGCAGGGGAGGGCCGUUUUGCCCACCCGACUCCUGCGGCCCUGGCAGCUUUCUGCCUGCGGCCAGCGUGACGCCCCGUAGUCGGGGUGUGUGUCACGAGCCCUGGAGCCCUCUGUCCCCAGGAGCAGCCCGAGCUCCCCCUGUAAGCAGGGCGGAGGUGGCGGCAGUGCCGCAGCCGGCUGCUUUAGCCAGCCAGCAGGAACAACCCCAGCAUCGCCCCAUCGGAGGGGGCCGGCUGAGGAAGUGUUGUGCCGGAAGGCGGGCAUAGUCCCAUCGCCUUUGGCGUUGCUUUUGGUUGGGGUGACGUGCGCGCAGUUGGCGCGGAGGUGUCUCCCUGGGCUCCUGAAGACGUGGUGUUGUGCUGCAGCCAGGAGGGCCAGCCCGUCCGUCGGGCCUAGGCCGGAGCCUCGUGCUCCAUGGGGCUUUCUUGGGAGGCGGUGAGGCGUGGGGGGACCGCCCUGUAGGCAGGGCUGUGCGUGUCCCCUGCCCUGGACAGGAGGCGCCUGUAGGGCCCCCGCUGUAAUCAGGGGGGCGGGCACCUGUGGCCCCGGCCUUUCAGAGGCGCGGGGCCGAGUUGUGUGGAGGGGCCGGGCGUGCCCUCCCCGUACUCGGGGCUGGGGUCCCGGCCCCCGGCCUUUGGCCGUGCCGCUCCACCGCCUGGCUGCUGAGAAGUCGUUCCAGCUGGUGUGGGGGAAGGCCGAGCUCUGGGGCUCCCUGGGUGUCGACCUGCCUGUAAUCAGGGGUGCGGGUCUGGGAGCCUUUGUGCUCCGCUGGCAGCCGGUGUGGGGUGACCGUCCCGUUAGCGGGUUCGCGGUCAGGGUGCCCCGGAAUCGGAGAGAAGGAGCCUCCGUUUGCCUUUGGGACCAGGGCUGCCCCGUAACUCGGGGGCCAGCCAGUGCCCUGGCGUCCCGGGCACUUUGCGGUCCAGGCAGCGGCUCGAGCCCCCUGUAAGCAGGGGUGCAGCCUGUCUGGCCGCUGCUUUGCCUGCCCAGCUCCGUUUGCCCAGGGUGCCCGCCUCCGAGCCCAGCUCCAGCACCGGCUGGAGCUCUGCUGCGCGUCCCUCAGCAGCAGCCGGUGGGGAAGAAAGAAGAGGGAGGCGUCGUGUGGACCUGCACUGCGAGGCAAGAGCGACGAAGAAGAGGAGAAGAGGGAGGCGUCGUGUGGACCUGCACUGCGAGGCAAGACUGACGAAGAAGAGGAGCAGAGGAGCAAAGAGAAAGGCACUCUGGGCAAAAGGCCGUCCCGGUCGAGAGGUCUGCAGACACGUAAGAAGAGCAUGGCCGGCACCUUUGGUGUCCUGGCCGGCUUUGCGCUGGGCGACCUCCCUGUAAGCAGGGCUCAGGUCUUUUGCUUUAGUCGGCCUUUUGCCACGCUGCUCCUUUGGCUGCCUGGAGAGAGUGUCAACCCUGUAAGGAGGGUGAGCGCCACUGUCUCCGCACCCGAGGGGGAACUGGAGCUCUCUGGACCCCAAGGCCACCCUGUAAGCAGGGGAGGGCCGUUUUGCCCACCCGACUCCUGCGGCCCUGGCAGCUUUCUGCCUGCGGCCAGCGUGACGCCCCGUAGUCGGGGUGUGUGUCACGAGCCCUGGAGCCCUCUGUCCCCAGGAGCAGCCCGAGCUCCCCCUGUAAGCAGGGCGGAGGUGGCGGCAGUGCCGCAGCCGGCUGCUUUAGCCAGCCAGCAGGAACAACCCCAGCAUCGCCCCAUCGGAGGGGGCCGGCUGAGGAAGUGUUGUGCCGGAAGGCGGGCAUAGUCCCAUCGCCUUUGGCGUUGCUUUUGGUUGGGGUGACGUGCGCGCAGUUGGCGCGGAGGUGUCUCCCUGGGCUCCUGAAGACGUGGUGUUGUGCUGCAGCCAGGAGGGCCAGCCCGUCCGUCGGGCCUAGGCCGGAGCCUCGUGCUCCAUGGGGCUUUCUUGGGAGGCGGUGAGGCGUGGGGGGACCGCCCUGUAGGCAGGGCUGUGCGUGUCCCCUGCCCUGGACAGGAGGCGCCUGUAGGGCCCCCGCUGUAAUCAGGGGGGCGGGCACCUGUGGCCCCGGCCUUUCAGAGGCGCGGGGCCGAGUUGUGUGGAGGGGCCGGGCGUGCCCUCCCCGUACUCGGGGCUGGGGUCCCGGCCCCCGGCCUUUGGCCGUGCCGCUCCACCGCCUGGCUGCUGAGAAGUCGUUCCUGCUGGUGUGGGGGAAGGCCAAGCUCUGGGGCUCCCUGGGUGUCGACCUGCCUGUAAUCAGGGGUGCGGGUCUGGGAGCCUUUGUGCUCCGCUGGCAGCCGGUGUGGGGUGACCGUCCCGUUAGCGGGUUCGCGGUCAGGGUGCCCCGGAAUCGGAGAGAAGGAGCCUCCGUUUGCCUUUGGGACCAGGGCUGCCCCGUAACUCGGGGGCCAGCCAGUGCCCUGGCGUCCCGGGCACUUUGCGGUCCAGGCAGCGGCUCGAGCCCCCUGUAAGCAGGGGUGCAGCCUGUCUGGCCGCUGCUUUGCCUGCCCAGCUCCGUUUGCCCAGGGUGCCCGCCUCCGAGCCCAGCUCCAGCACCGGCUGGAGCUCUGCUGCGCGUCCCUCAGCAGCCGGUGGGGAAGAAAGAAGAGGGAGGCGUCGUGUGGACCUGCACUGCGAGGCAAGAGCGACGAAGAAGAGGAGAAGAGGGAGGCGUCGUGUGGACCUGCACUGCGAGGCAAGACUGACGAAGAAGAGGAGCAGAGGAGCAAAGAGAAAGGCACUCUGGGCAAAAGGCCGUCCCGGUCGAGAGGUCUGCAGACACGUAAGAAGAGCAUGGCCGGCACCUUUGGUGUCCUGGCCGGCUUUGCGCUGGGCGACCUCCCUGUAAGCAGGGCUCAGGUCUUUUGCUUUAGUCGGCCUUUUGCCACGCUGCUCCUUUGGCUGCCUGGAGAGAGUGUCAACCCUGUAAGGAGGGUGAGCGCCACUGUCUCCGCACCCGAGGGGGAACUGGAGCUCUCUGGACCCCAAGGCCACCCUGUAAGCAGGGGAGGGCCGUUUUGCCCACCCGACUCCUGCGGCCCUGGCAGCUUUCUGCCUGCGGCCAGCGUGACGCCCCGUAG